rnacentral:rRNA from 1 species
UACGUAGGGUGCAAGCGUUGUCCGGAAUUACUGGGCGUAAAGAGCUCGUAGGCGGUUUGUCGCGUCGGCUGUGAAAACCUGGGGCUCAACCCCGGGCCUGCAGCCGAUACGGGCAGACUAGAAUUCGGUAGGGGAGACUGGAAUUCCUGGUGUAGCGGUGAAAUGCGCAGAUAUCAGGAAGAACACCGGUGGCGAAGGCGGGUCUCUGGGCCGAUAUUGACGCUGAGGAGCGAAAGCGUGGGGAGCGAACAGG